rnacentral:piRNA from 1 species
UUGCUGGCAAGAUGGCCGAAUAGGAACAGC